rnacentral:rRNA from 1 species
UACGGAGGAUGCGAGCGUUAUCCGGAUUUAUUGGGUUUAAAGGGUGCGUAGGCGGCUUUUUAAGUCAGCGGUGAAAUUUUGCAGCUUAACUGUAACAGUGCCGUUGAUACUGGGGAGCUAGGAUUUGGUUGCUGUUGGUGGAAUGUGUGGUGUAGCGGUGAAAUGCUUAGAGAUCACACAGAAUAUCGAUUGCGAAGGCAGCUCACAACGCCAAGAUUGACGCUUAGGCACGAAAGUGUGGGGAUCAAACAGGAUUAGA